rnacentral:lncRNA from 1 species
AGUGAUGCGGUCAACAAUAAGUUAACUCGAAUCACCUCAAAUUAAACCUGCAAUGAAUAUACGAGAAUCGAUACGAUCUUGUGAUGAUCUUCUUCGAUUCGAUGGAUUGGGCGUUUCCUGCGUAAGAAAAAUAUACGUUAGGGUGCCGGAGCUUGGUUCCGGCGAAAACCCUCCGAUGCUUAAGUCAGUCCAGAUUCCAAGAGAAGAAUAUCAGAGAAAAAUAUGAGAAGAAAAUAUUCUAAUGUCUCUCGAAUAGCAAAAUUACCUUUUCUCAAUAAACGUAAAGCAUUUAUAUACGGAAUCUUACUAUGGGCCUGGAAUGUAAUCUUGGGCUUUUAAUUGAUAAUUGGGCCCAAACAUUAUAGUUAUAAUUUUUGGGCCUCAUCAUAUUUUUGGCCCAUGCACAUCA